rnacentral:rRNA from 1 species
CUUAAAGGAAUUGACGGGGACCCGCACAAGCGGUGGAUGAUGUGGUUUAAUUCGAUGCAACGCGAAAAACCUUACCCACCUUUGACAUGUACGGAACCCUUUGGAGACAGAGGGGUGCUCGAAAGAGAGCCGUAACACAGGUGCUGCAUGGCUGUCGUCAGCUCGUGUCGUGAGAUGUUGGGUUAAGUCCCGCAACGAGCGCAACCCUUGUCAUUAGUUGCUACGAAAGGGCACUCUAAUGAGACUGCCGGUGACAAGCCGGAGGAAGGUGGGGAUGACGUCAAGUCCUCAUGGCCCUUAUAGGUGGGGCUACACACGUCAUACAAUGGCUGGUACAGAGGGUUGCCAACCCGCGAGGGGGAGCCAAUCCCAUAAAACCAGUCGUAGUCCGGAUCGCAGUCUGCAACUCGACUGCGUGAAGUCGGAAUCGCUAGUAAUCGCGGAUCAGCAUGUCGCGGUGAAUACGUUCCCGGGUCUUGUACACACCGCCCGUCACACCAU